ensembl:misc_RNA predicted gene, 24190
GGGUGCCCAACUUUCCCCUCACCGUUCCAUGGGUGUUCCUCCCCAAGCUGUGAGCUCCACUGAAGGGGCCAACAUUCCCUGAUAAAGAAGGCUGCUCUAAGAUUUAUGAGCUCUGAGCUCUCUGGCUAGAACUUCCAAAAAAGCUCUUGAGAUUUGAAGAAACUCUCACAAGUACUUUUCAACACACUACCUUAAUACAAAAAGGAAUCAGAUUUU